AUGUUCCACAAGAAACAAAAAAAGAAAAAAAGUAAGAAAGAAAAGAAGGCAAGAGAAGAAAAGGAAAGAAGAAAAGAAACAACAGAGGGACAGGAAGGAAGGGAGGAAGGAAAGAACGCAGAAAGGAGAGAAAGCAGCUUCCAGAACCAGGCCCCGGCCGGGAGCCCAGCGCGGAGACACAGGACGACUGGAUGCUGUGCGGCACCGUGGCCCAGCUCACCCGGACCUUCUGGUCCGGGCAGUGAGGACGCAGUGGUCGUCGGGACUCACGUCCAGCGAACGGGAUUGACCGAGGACAGAACUGCAGGUGACGGGGCCGGAGUUGGGGCCCCCGCCCAAGUGCCCCCAGGACAUGUUUCUGGUUCCCCACCAGGGGUCCUCACACACAGGCUGCCUGCACCACCCCUCGGCCUCCAGCACCCUGGUCACCCUCCUCCUCCUCCUCCUCCUCCCUGUCUCCCCAAGGCCGCCCAGUCACCAAGUCCUGGUGGUGUUCCUUCAAGAGCCCCUCCCUUGUUGUUCCUGCUGGUGGCCUAGGGUCCCACCCGGCCGCACCUCCCACUGGCGGCCCCCCACCCUCACUGGGCCCCUCGGGGGGCAGCUCCUGGCCAAUAAAGAGGCCGGUAAAGCCUGGAGAGCAAGCUCAGGCCUGGAGACCGUGCCCUCUCCUCCCACAGCGCCCCUCCCCCGCGGCUCACACCCUGGCUGUCCCUGUCUUCUGGGCCACCCUGAUGCCUCCUCACCUGCCUGUCUGCACCCACCUUCCACACCACCUUCCUGAGCCCCACUCCUGAGGCCGCCUGCCACCAGCCUGCACGUCUGCGGGGCUGCUGCUGAACCCACACCCCCGACAGCCUGGCUUCUGAGGUCGAGCCCCGCACCAGGCUCCGCACUGACGGUGUGGCGCCUGCUUGGGAUGCUCUCUCCUCCUCCCUCUCUGCCCUUCACCUCCGCAGGUUCUCUCUCAAAAUAAACUUUAAAAAAAAUCCAUGUAAGAUGGUCAUGUCAGGAGAAAUUAGGUUGAUAUGUUUGGGGGCGUUUCUUACUGGCAAAUUUAAAACUGCCACCUGGUGGGGGCACCAGCCGGGGCUCCGUCACUUAAGCUUCUGACUUCAGCUCAGCUCAAGGCUUGUGGUUCCGGGGUUUCAGCCUCCUGUCAGGCUCUGUGCUGACAGCUUGGAGCCUGAAGCCUGCUUCGGACUCUGUGUCUCCUUCCCUCUCUGCCCCUCCCCUGCUGUGAUCUGUCUCUCUCCAUCUCAAAAAUAAACAUAAAAAAUUUCCUAGUAAAAUAAACCUGCCACCUGUUACACAUGUCUCCACUACCCGAGAAACCUCCCAGGGCUGCCAAGCGCCUGCCAGCACAGGAGGCGCCACCAUCCUCCCUCCAGACCCCAAGCUCUCUCCGGGUCACGCCCGUGUCCCCCUUCCACUGCCCGGCACACUGGACACAGACGAGCAGAGCCUUCGACGUGACUGCACCAGCCUCUCCCAUAAACACGGUCGCGUCGGUCACUUCUCCGUGGCAGGAACCUGCCGCCAGCACAUUCUCUCAAGAGGCAUCGAUAAAGCAAGCAUUUCAGUGCAGUAAACCAGCCUCCCAGGAGCACGUGUUGGGUCCCAGGAGUCUCCGAAACAAAGCAAUCCGGAAAGGACCCCAGGUCUAUCAGGAAAUUCUCUAUGAAAACGGAAUUUAACACUGCAACGGGACUCGGGGCAGAGAGCACGCCGUCUGUGUCAGUUAACGAAUCCAAACCACCCGAGGAAAGAGCAGGGGCCGAACCUGACCAUCGAGACCCACGCGGCUCCCGGGGCGAGGCUCCCGGAUGACGGUUAUUGCUACAAACUCUCAGGAGCCGCGCUAGCAGGUGCACGCAGGCAGGGAGAGCAAAGCAGGGCCGUGUGCAGGGGUGCUGG
rnacentral:lncRNA from 1 species